UCAUGUAUAAAUCCAUAUUAAUUCUAUUAAAAUAUGUACAUAAUUACAUGGAACAUAAUUUUACAAGUUGUUUGAGAACCUAUUUUAUCUUUGUCUGGUAAUUAAUUCUUUGGAAGUACUACAGUCAGAGUUUUUUCCUCAAUAAGAAAAGCUUCAUCCAUACAUACCUACCACCUUUUCAUUCUCAUGGUUCCAGGUGACUAUAAAAAUCACAUAUGGCUGGUAUUGUAGGAUUAGAAUAUAAAGGGGUAGAUACAAUUUCCUUAGCCACAUGGCUAAUGAAAACUCCUUCCUCAAAAUGAAAUUAUACUCCUCUUCCUCCAGUCUUAAAGUAUUUCCUUGUUCAGUUGGUGUGAGUAUCAACCACUAAAAGGCAAAUGGGAGUGGAGGCAAAUGGGAGUGGAAAAGUGAGAAAUUUUGAAGAGAAAGAAUAAAGGAAAAGGAAGAAAUAAAAAAUGGAGGGGAAUAUUUGCCCCCAUUGUGACAAACGUCAACUCACAAGACUCUUUCCUUUAGGAUUACUAACAACUACUCUUCAUUUUUAUUUUAGAUGCUGUUUAUUACUUGCAUCCUGGUAACAUGGUAAUCCUAAAACUUCAAGAAAUAUUCUCCAAAAUGCUGAAUAUGUCUGGAAUUACAAGACCCUUCUGUGGUGGAACGGAGUGACUGGACCAAGGAUCCAGAUAGAAACACUGCCAGAGUCUGCACCACAAUAAAAGCUGAGUAAGUAGGGAGCCAUUCAUCAAGCAGAGAAAAUUUUCAAUUUCUGUUCAUCAGCCCCAGAUGUCAGCAGCAAAUACCAGCUGAAGAUCCUGAAAAAGACCAAGCCAAACAAAUACUGCAGCAGACGCAGAACACCCACUCUGCAGCAGACUGAAAACCACUCCAUGAAGACAUGAAAUCAUGCCAAGCCUGAUCACCUGAAUGCCUCAAAAUAUCUGCUGCAAUGCCUGAUAUCUAGCAAAGACCCAAAUGUUUGAUAAUUGAAUGAACAGAAACAAUCAACGAACAAUUGUUAGAGCCAAGUCUAUGUUCCUCAACUGAUAUUUCAAUUUUAUGAAGUCCAUUCAAAAUUCCAGCUGCUGAGAGGAAAUUUGAGUAAUGUCUCUUGGUCAUCAUUUCUAUCAUCAGAACGAGAAACCAAGAAUGAGUCACAGACAAGAGGAAAUGAAGACAAUUGUAACACAGUUUAUAUGUCAGAUUUGUGGUGCCAAGUCCUUUACAAGCCUUUUACAUGUGUUCUGGUAUUUUGCUAAUGUAGCUACAAUAUCUCCAGGGCCUUAACAUCCUUUCUUUCGUCUCUCAAAUGACCUAUAAAAGAUGGUUAGAAGAACAUAGAAUAAAAAAAGAAAAUGAC